rnacentral:lncRNA from 1 species
GUUUUGUUAAAUUUAAUAUAAAAUAUUGAAUUAUUAGAAAAUUUAACGUAUUUUUUUAUAUUAUUUAUCGAGUGAUUGAAAUAGCUCAAAAUUAACUACUGAAAAUAAAAAGGGAAAACUUCAAAAACCCCCCCUGUGGUUUCAUGCAUUCUCACUUUAGUACCCUGUGGUUUAAAACGUAUCAACUUGCCCCCCUGUGGUUUCGUUUUUAUCUUUUCAGAAGCUUUUUCGUUAAUAUUUCGUUAAAUUAUAUACAAAAAACUUCAGAUAACCAUCUAUGUUUAUCGAAUAUUCACUUUAGUAUCCUUUAAUUUUAAUUUUGUCACUGAUUUAAGAAAAAAAAAAUAAUAAAAUUGAUAACAAAAAGAGAAAAAUGAAACCACAGGGGGGCAAAUUGAUACGUUUUAAACCACAGGGUAUGAAAGUGAGAAUGCAUGAAACCACAGGGGGGGUUUUUGAAGUUUUCCCUAAUAAAAAUGUAAUUGAGGUCCCAAGCGAAAGUGGCAAAAGACUUAAUGGUUGGUACCUGAGGUCCCUAGUUCGAAUCCUAAUUGAUUCACAUUUCUAGCUAAGUUUAUUUCUAAAUGAAAUAAAUGAAGCGGGUAGUGUGCUACCCAUCUCAUUUCUAGCUAAGUUUAUUUUUAAAUGAAAUAAACGAAGCGGGUAGCGUGCUACCCAUCUCUUUCAAAAAAAAAAAAAAAAUCUAACUAAAAAUGAUGAGUUACAUUUUAGAUCAAAAAUAUUAUUCUUAUUUUAUACAGAAUAAAAAAUUUUCUAUUAAAAUUUCAUGUUCUUUUAUUUUUUAUUUUAAAAUUUUAU